UACGGAAGGCAGCAGUGGGGAAUAUUGGACAAUGGGCGGAAGCCUGAUCCAGCCAUGCCGCGUGUGUGAAGAAGGCCUUUUGGUUGUAAAGCACUUUAAGCGAGGAGGAGGCUACUAGUACUAAUACUACUGGAUAGUGGACGUUACUCGCAGAAUAAGCACCGGCUAACUCUGUGCCAGCAGCCGCGGUAAUACAGAGGGUGCGAGCGUUAAUCGGAUUUACUGGGCGUAAAGCGUGCGUAGGCGGCUGAUUAAGUCGGAUGUGAAAUCCCUGAGCUUAACUUAGGAAUUGCAUUCGAUACUGGUCAGCUAGAGUAUGGGAGAGGAUGGUAGAAUUCCAGGUGUAGCGGUGAAAUGCGUAGAGAUCUGGAGGAAUACCGGAUGGCGAAGGCAGCCAUCUGGGCCUAAUACUGACGCUGAGGUCGAAAGGCAUGGGGAAGGCAAACAGGAUUAAGGAAUAACC
rnacentral:rRNA from 1 species